UGGGGAGGUUCUUCAAGAGUUCUUCGGGCUUGGGACUUCUUCUGAGAGUUCUUGAGUUCUUGUGCUUGGGACUUUUGACUGCUCUCAUUCUUUGGAGUUAUGAGUUCUAGUUGGAGGCUGGUAAAGAAUCUGCUGACUGGACCUGAGACUUAUACUUGAGACACACCUUGGCCAAGACAGAGAAGCUGCAGUUUUCUUUUCAAGCCUAUCACCCCAGAUUGUUAUAGUGCCACCCCCUGAGGUGAGAAGUAAAACUGUAGGGAAUUUAAAGAAAAUCAAUGCCAGGAUCCAAAAGACCAGCCAGGCACUCGGGCGGCUAUGCUGCAAAGUCCUCCAACACAGCGGUGUAAGCACUGCCAUGAAGCUCAAAGUGUACAACGCAGCGGUCCUCAGCUUGCUCCUGUACAGUUGUGAGACAUGGACACUGUACCGGAAGCACAUGAAACAGCUGGAGCAAUUCCAUCAACGCUCCCUCCGGUCAAUCAUGAGGAUCCGAUAGCAGGACCGAAUCACCAACCGGGAAGUCCUCGACAGAGCCAACUCCACCAGCAUCGAAGUCCUGGUCCUCAGAACCCAGCUACGAUGGUCUGGACACGUCAUCCGCAUGGACCCACAGAGAAUACCAAGACAGGUAUUCUACGGUGAACUGUCAGCUGGACUCAGGAAACAAGGCUGACCAAAGAAAAGAUACAAGGAUCAGCUAAAGUCCAACUUGAAGUGGGCUGGCAUGACACCAAAGCGACUAGAACUCGCUGCCUCUGACAGAAGCAGUUGGUGAACCCACAUUAACCAUGCCGCCACCACCUUUGAAGAUGAGCGACGUCGACGUCUUGCUGCUGCGCAUAAACACCAACACCAGGCCACAACCUCAUCUCCCAUAACAACUGGCGUCCCAUGCCCCAUGUGCCACAAACUCUGCGCCUCAGCCUUUGGACUUCAAAGCCACAUGAGGGUACACUGUAGAUAAAAAUGCACAAAGACAAUUGUCAUUCUCAGUCACCGAGAGACUACCACUAUACUAUACCUUUCCUACUACUCCUAGUGAUCCAAAAUAAUAACAUUAAAUUAAAUACAUUUAAAUAAAAGAAUUAUUAAUAGUGAAAUAAUAAUACUGAAUUGAAUUAAAACAUUUCUAAAAUUGAACAAAGCUAAUAUUAAAUAAAAUUAAUUAAAUGCAAUAUUAAUGAAUGAUUUUAGAACACAGUUCUUACCCAAUCUACUCCUCUCCUCCCCAGUCCUGCCCCUGAUGUCCUCACUCCUCCUCUCCCCCAUGUUCCUCUCCACCCCACCCCCAAUCCUACCCCCCUCCUUUCCACCCUGCCCCCAGCCCCACCCCUGUUCCUCUCCUCCUCACCCCCAACCUCACCCCUGCUUCUUUUGCCCUGCCUCCCCACACCUGGACCAGUUACUCGCUCUCCAUUCACCUAUAUCCCCUUCUCCUACUAGCCUCACUACAGCCUACUCCAUUGAAAUCCAAACUACAGGCCAAGCAGCAGUAACCACAGAUGAUUUGAAUAAAGGCCUAUUUCCUCUUAGAGAUGUUCCUAUGUAUAAUAGACGUGGAGACUUAGUAAACAUUAGACAUCAUACACCUUUCUUUCCACAGGACAUUGAGAGAUUAAAAGAAUUUUUUUUUCUUUUGAAACUUAAUCCAUACUGCUCAUAAAUAAGUUCGAAAGCAUUUUCCACACAUGUAAUUCCACAUGGAUUGAUGUGGAAGAUUUGCUCCAGGCCCUGGUAACAGAAAGGGAAAGAAAUAAAAUUCCUUCUCUUGUUAAUCAGGCCCAGGGAGAGGGAACACCUAGUUGGUUAACUGAAGAUCCCAAAUGGAACCCAAAUUUAGAGCAAGAUUACUUACAACUAUGCCAGGCUAUAAAUGCAUUAAUAAAAGCAAUGAGAGCUUGUUCUGAUAGGCCUGGUAAAUGGACUAAAUUUGAAAAUCUAAAAAAGGAAGAUAAUGAAAACCCCUCUCAGUUUAUGGAUAGGUUUAUUGAGCUGGGAGGAAGGUACAUAGAAUUGGAUCUUGAUAGGGAAACAGAUAUUAGACAAAUUAGAAUACAAUUUGUAAAAACAGUUGUAAGGUAGUUAAGAAUUAUUUUAUGAGUAGCUGUCCAAACUGGCCUAAUAUGGAUCUUGAAAAAUUGAAGAGUGGCACUUUAUGCUUUUGAGGGACAUAAGGAAAAGGAGGAGAACACUGAUUUAAUGGAAACAUUAAGGACAACAAUAAACAAUAAGGUAAUUAACUGCUAAACAGGGAGAGAAGUAUAAAGAGAAUGCUACUUUAGUGGAGACAUUGAGGAAGGAAAUAAAAGAAUUAACCAAAAUAGUUGGAAAGGCAAAGCAAGGAGAGAUCAUAGCUUCCUUACAAGAAUCUGCAAAACAACUACUAACAUGCUUUUUUUGUGGAAAGGUGGGUCAUGUAAUUAUUAAUUGUAAGAAGAGAAAUCAGGAAAAUAGGAAUAGAAGCUACAGGCAUAAUGAUAAUAAUAGAAGGAAUAGUAAUUUCGAUGAGGGAAAUCAAAACUCACACCCAAACAUCCGUACUCAGUGUGGGAUCCCCUCUCAAUCUGGGGGACCCCAGAGGUGUGAACAAAGGAAUCUAGAUGACUAAUGGCACUCGAGAGGGGAAGGAACCUCACAGAGUCUGGUGAUGAAUUUUAAGCCUUUUCAAACCCCAUUGCCUUAUUGAUGUUAGCUGUUUCAGUUUGUUCCCCUUCCCAGAAUGAAGAAGUCUCUAUAAAACAAUUUUAAAAACAAGAUGUAUGUAAUUUACUGUUAACCACUUCAUAAGUUAUCAAAAUUGAAAUAUUCUGCUACACUUUCUUUAUUUGUACCUCCCCUAUGAUUGUACUGAAUAACAUAUCAUUGUUAAAAGUCCAUAAACAGCCUUUUGUUCCUUUUUUGCCUUUCUCAAUUGUCACACAGGGAUGAUGGAUGGACUCUAUCAAACUGGUUUCAAUCUGUAUAAAAGUUUUGGAGAAUUUAAUUAUCUAAUAAUCUCACUUGAUUUUAACGGGUCAUCAAAAGUGAUUUUCAGAUAUCUGGGAGCAUCCCUACCUCUGACUGAUCAUUUGCCUGCCUCUGAGUUGUUUGUAACAGGAGGUAAGGGUCCAUUUGUACUUGAAGUAGAGUGCAAUGAUACUGUUGUAUUUUCCAAUCUCUGCAUUUAUUGAAAAUGUAAUGGAUGACACAUCUGAUUUUCACUAUUUAGUCCUUGGCUCCAUGUGAAAAUGGGUGGGAAAUAUUGGAGACAGUUCUGUUACACUGUUACAGUUUCAUACCAAGAGGGAGGGAGGUGCCCAAGUGGUUUAGUUAUCCUGAAAUGGGUUAUAAUCUCAUCUGGGAGGUGGGAAUUGUUUUUCUUGUGAAGCCUAGUAGCUUAAAAAUGGGUUUAUUAUAUUUUUAACUCUUCAGCUUAUUCUACCCUUCUACCAGACUAAUCUAGAUUCUUGGUGACAUUUUUGGACCCAAAAGAUUUUCAUCCUCAGUACAGAGGUUUUUCUGGUUUCUCCUACCAAAUCUUGGAAUGAUGGUAAAAAUAGACUUUGUUAAAAAUAUCUCAUCCAAGGUUGAAAGAUGGGCUAGAUCUUUAGAACUUGUGACAAAUAUUCAUGAGUUCAAAGGUUUUUUUGAAUGUUAUACAGCAAUGGCUAUAUAAAAACUCAUGUGAAUCCUAAUGGUAGUGGGUUUGUUUACAGUUGUACUAAAAUGGGCUCUUAUAAUUUUGGAGAUUUUGGUACUUCUUCGAAUAUGUAUUAGUUGUUGUACUACUGUUUUUAAAAGGCUUUUUUACCUUGUGAAAAAAUCAUGUAUACUCAUACUGUGGCUCCUGACCAAGUUAAAAGGGAAAUAAAUCUAAUUUCUGAGUGAG